AUAUUCGGUUUAACGUCCUAAACAAGAAUAUAUCUUAAGUUUUCAGUUUUGACCCCAUUUGGUCAUCGACAACUUCGCCGAACUGCAAUCUUUAUCAGAUAGCCUUCGGAUUUUAUUUCUCACUCUACGGGUGUCAGAAAAAUAUGAAACUUUAAAUCUAGCCUCAUUAAGAUAUUACUGACAUAUCCUCCAAUUUUCAUAAUUUUCUGAGACUGUGCAUUUUCUACUAAUUUAUCUUCCCCGUUUCCAACAGAAAAUUCUAAAUCUUCUGUUUUCGCUCCGAUUUCAGCACAAGUCAUUUCUGACUUAUGUUUUACUCCUCUAAAUCCAAUAAAAAUAGUAUCUCACACUAUUUUUAUUUAUUUUUUUAUUUUUAUAUUUAAAAUCCGGUAUGUUACAUUACACCGCAACUUCACCGGAACCAUUUAAAUGUACACCGUAACUUCAUAGCUUUAGAAGUCCGGUACCUUACA
rnacentral:lncRNA from 1 species